GCCUUAAUGAGUUCAUAGUAAUGGUGAUGUAUCAAUAACAGAAUAAUGGACUGAAGUCUGUUGACCCCCUUUUGGCCCGUUUGUAGUCGUUGAUUUAUUACGCAUUGUGAUUGUUUGUUUUCUUUGGUGUCAAUGUCUUGGAGGGUUACAGGGUAGUUUUUAUUUAGAUGAACAUAGGGUAGUUUUAUUUUCUUUGCCACGUCUAGUCUACUCAGGCUAUAGUCUCUCUUUUUUUCUUUCUUGCAGUAUUUCAAGUCUUCACAAAUACUCUUAUAACUAACUUAAUUUUUCUGGAAAUUUUUACAAUUUUAAAACACAAAAUAUCAAAUUGGAAAACAAAAAUAUCAGUUAGAAAUUCAAUUAGUAGCA
rnacentral:lncRNA from 1 species